AGUGGCAGCAUGUCAAGUCCACCGUUAAGGCCUGACCACACGUACGCGUUGCAGCGUGUCAGCGCGUAGCUUUAUGACGCGCCGCCGCGCCUUCUCCCUAUGGAGAGACAGGGCGCGCAGCUUCGCGUAGCCGCGCGCCCUCUCUCCCCACAGGGAGAUGGCGCGGCGCCGCGUCAAGGGUCAGGCGCUGACACGCUGCAACGCGUACGUGGGGUCCGG
rnacentral:lncRNA from 1 species